rnacentral:tRNA from 2 species
GGAGGGGUCGCAUAGAGGCCUAGUGCGCCGGUUUGCUAAACCGGUAAGGGGUGUAUAACCCCUUCGAGGGUUCGAAUCCCUCUCCCUCCGCCA